rnacentral:rRNA from 1 species
AGAGAACGCUGGCGGCGUGCCUCAAACAUGCAAGUCGAGCGGGGCUAUGUAAUAUCGCAAGGUAGAACAUAGCCUAGCGGCGAACGGGUGAGUAACACGUGGGUAACCUGCCUGGAAGACAGGGAUAACGAUUCGAAAGGGUCGCUAAUACCUGAUAAUAUCCUUUCAUCGCAUGGUGAUAGGAAGAAAGGGGAAACCCGCUUUCAGAUGGGCCCGCGUCCCAUCAGCUAGUUGGUAAGGUAAAGGCUUACCAAGGCGACGACGGGUAGCCGGUCUGAGAGGAUGUACGGCCACACUGGGACUGAGAUACGGCCCAGACUCCUACGGGAGGCAGCAGUUGGGAAUCUUAGGCAAUGGACGAAAGUCUGACCUAGCGACGCCGCGUGAGGGAAGAAGGCCUUCGGGUUGUAAACCUCUGUCAUGGGGGAAGAAGGUAAGUGACGGUACCCCAAGAGGAAGCCCCUGCUAACUACGUG